CAGCCGCCGCGGUAAUACCGGCGGCCCGAGUGGCGGUCACUAUUAUUGGGCUUAAAGCGUCCGUAGCCGGGGUGGGAAGUCCUCCGGGAAAUCUGGCCGCUUAACGGUCAGAAUGCCGGAGGAUACUCCCAGCCUAGGGAGCGGGAGAGGCCGAGGGGAUUCCCGGGGUAGGGGGGGAAUUCUAUAAUCCCGGGAGGACCACCUGUGGCGAAGGCGCUCGGCUGGAACGCGUCCGACGGUGAGGGACGAAGGCCAGGGGAGCAAACCGGAUUAGAUACCCGGGUAGUCCUGGCUGUAAACGAUGCGGACUUUGUGUCGGACAAGCUAUGAGCUUGUCCGGUGCCGGAGGGAAACCGUUAAGUCCGCCGCCUGGGGAGUACGGCCGCAAGGCUGAAACUUAAAGGAAUUGGCGGG
rnacentral:rRNA from 1 species